rnacentral:rRNA from 1 species
GUGGGGAAUCUUGCGCAAUGGGCGAAAGCCUGACGCAGCCAUGCCGCGUGAAUGAUGAAGGUCUUAGGAUUGUAAAAUUCUUUCACCGGGGACGAUAAUGACGGUACCCGGAGAAGAAGCUCCGGCUAACUUCGUGCCAGCAGCCGCGGUAAUACGAAGGGGGCUAGCGUUGCUCGGAAUUACUGGGCGUAAAGGGCGCGUAGGCGGACAGCUUAGUCAGAGGUGAAAGCCCAGGGCUCAACCUUGGAAUUGCCUUUGAUACUGGCUGUCUUGAGUUUGGGAGAGGUGAGUGGAACUCCGAGUGUAGAGGGGAAAUUCGUAGAUAUUCGGAAGAACACCAGUGGCGAAGGCGACUCACUGGCCCAAUACUGACGCUGAGGCGCGAAAGCGUGGGGAGCAAACAGGAUUAGAUACCCGUGUAGUCC